UACGUAGGGGCCUAGCGUUGUCCGGAUUUAUUGGGCGUAAAGAGCUCGUAGGCGGCUUGGUAAGUCAGGUGUGAAAUCUCCACGCUCAACGUGGAGGGGCCACCCGAAACUGCCAUGGCUUGAGUCCGGUAGGGGAGUGUGGAAUUCCCGGUGUAGCGGUGAAAUGCGCAGAUAUCGGGAGGAACACCCGUAGCGAAGGCGGCACUCUGGGCCGGUACUGACGCUGAGGAGCGAAAGCGUGGGAGCAACAGG
rnacentral:rRNA from 1 species